CAUGCAAGUCGAGGGGCAGCGGGGAGUAGCAAUACUUCGCCGGCGACCGGCGCACGGGUGAGUAACACGUGUGCAACCAACCCCGUACCGGGAGAUAACCCGCGGAAACGUGGACUAACAUCCCAUAAUACUGGAGGAUCGCAUGAUCUUUCAUUUAAAAUUCCGGUGGUACGGGACGGGCACGCGCGACAUUAGGUAGUUGGCGGGGUAAGGGCCCACCAAGCCGACGAUGUCUAGGGGUUCUGAGAGGAAGGUCCCCCACACUGGAACUGAGACACGGUCCAGACUCCUACGGGAGGCAGCAGUGAGGAAUAUUGGUCAAUGGGCGCGAGCCUGAACCAGCCAAGUCGCGUGAGGGAAGAAUGGUCCAUGGCCUGUAAACCUCUUUUGUCAAGGAAGAAUAAAAGGUACGUGUACCUUCUUGCCAGUACUUGACGAAUAAGCAUCGGCUAACUCCGUGCCAGCAGCCGCGGUAAUACGGGGGAUGCGAGCGUUAUCCGGAUUUAUUGGGUUUAAAGGGCGCGUAGGCGGGACGCCAAGUCAGCGGUAAAAGACUGCAGCUAAACUGUAGCACGCCGUUGAAACUGGCGCCCUCGAGACGAGACGAGGGAGGCGGAACAAGUGAAGUAGCGGUGAAAUGCUUAGAUAUCACUUGGAACCCCGAUAGCGAAGGCAGCUUCCCAGGCUCGAUCUGACGCCUGAUGCGCGAGAGCGUGGGUAGC
rnacentral:rRNA from 1 species